UACGUAGGGGGCAAGCGUUGUCCGGAUUUACUGGGCGUAAAGGGCGCGUAGGCGGUCAGCACAAGUCAGUUGUGAAAUCUCCGGGCUUAACUCGGAAAGGUCAACUGAUACUGUGCGACUAGAGUGCAGAAGGGGCAACUGGAAUUCUCGGUGUAGCGGUGAAAUGCGUAGAUAUCUGGAGGAACACCGGUGGCGAAGGCGGCGUUCUGGACUGCAACUGACACUGAGGAACGAAAGCCAGGGGAGCAAACGGG
rnacentral:rRNA from 1 species